GAUGAAGAACGCAGCGAAAUGCGAUAAGUAAUGUGAAUUGCAGAAUUCAGUGAAUCAUCGAAUCUUUGAACGCACAUUUCGCCCCCUGGUAUUCCGGGGGGCAUGCCUGUCCGAGCGUCAUUACAACCCUCAAGCUCAGCUUGGUGUUGGGCCCCGCCGCCCCGGCGGGCCCUAAAGUCAGUGGCGGUGCCGUCCGGCUCCGAGCGUAGUAAUUCUUCUCGCUCUGGAGGUCCGGUCGUGUGCUCGCCAGCAACCCCCAAUUUUUUUCAGGUUGACCUCGGAUCAGGUAGGGAUACCCGCUGAACUUAAGCAUAUCAAUAAGCGGAGGA
rnacentral:misc_RNA from 1 species